CGCAAGGCACGCAGGAAGAAGAAGCGGCGCGCCUGCUGGGCGCGUCGGGGUGGCAGACGUUCCGACGCGUCACCUUGCCG
rnacentral:tRNA from 1 species